rnacentral:rRNA from 1 species
UACAGAGGUCUCAAGCGUUGUUCGGAUUCAUUGGGCGUAAAGGGUGCGUAGGCGGCGCGGUAAGUCGGGUGUGAAAUCUCGGGGCUUAACUCCGAAACUGCAUUCGAUACUGCCGUGCUUGAGGACUGGAGAGGAGACUGGAAUUUACGGUGUAGCGGUGAAAUGCGUAGAUAUCGUAAGGAAGACCAGUGGCGAAGGCGGGUCUCUGGACAGUUCCUGACGGCUGGAGGCACGAAGGCCAGGGGAGCAAACGGG